rnacentral:rRNA from 1 species
UAUGGAGAGUUUGAUCCUGGCUCAGAGUGAACGCUGGCGGCGUGCCUAAUACAUGCAAGUCGAACGAUGAAGCUUCUAGCUUGCUAGAAUGCUGAUUAGUGGCGCACGGGUGAGUAACGCAUAGGUCAUGUGCCUCUUAGUUUGGGAUAGCCAUUGGAAACGAUGAUUAAUACCAGAUACUCCCUACGGGGGAAAGAUUUAUCGCUAAGAGAUCAGCCUAUGUCCUAUCAGCUUGUUGGUAAGGUAAUGGCUUACCAAGGCUAUGACGGGUAUCCGGCCUGAGAGGGUGAACGGACACACUGGAACUGAGACACGGUCCAGACUCCUACGGGAGGCAGCAGUAGGGAAUAUUGCUCAAUGGGGGAAACCCUGAAGCAGCAACGCCGCGUGGAGGAUGAAGGUUUUAGGAUUGUAAACUCCUUUUGUUAGAGAAGAUAAUGACGGUAUCUAACGAAUAAGCACCGGCUAACUCCGUGCCAGCAGCCGCGGUAAUACGGAGGGUGCAAGCGUUACUCGGAAUCACUGGGCGUAAAGAGCGCGUAGGCGGGAUAGUCAGUCAGGUGUGAAAUCCUAUGGCUUAACCAUAGAACUGCAUUUGAAACUACUAUUCUAGAGUGUGGGAGAGGUAGGUGGAAUUCUUGGUGUAGGGGUAAAAUCCGUAGAGAUCAAGAGGAAUACUCAUUGCGAAGGCGACCUGCUGGAACAUUACUGACGCUGAUUGCGCGAAAGCGUGGGGAGCAAACAGGAUUAGAUACCCUGGUAGUCCACGCCCUAAACGAUGGAUGCUAGUUGUUGGAGGGCUUAGUCUCUCCAGUAAUGCAGCUAACGCAUUAAGCAUCCCGCCUGGGGAGUACGGUCGCAAGAUUAAAACUCAAAGGAAUAGACGGGGACCCGCACAAGCGGUGGAGCAUGUGGUUUAAUUCGAAGAUACACGAAGAACCUUACCUAGGCUUGACAUUGAGAGAAUCCGCUAGAAAUAGUGGAGUGUCUGGCUUGCCAGACCUUGAAAACAGGUGCUGCACGGCUGUCGUCAGCUCGUGUCGUGAGAUGUUGGGUUAAGUCCCGCAACGAGCGCAACCCCCUUUCUUAGUUGCUAACAGGUUAUGCUGAGAACUCUAAGGAUACUGCCUCCGUAAGGAGGAGGAAGGUGGGGACGACGUCAAGUCAUCAUGGCCCUUACGCCUAGGGCUACACACGUGCUACAAUGGGGUGCACAAAGAGAAGCAAUACUGCGAAGUGGAGUCAAUCUUCAAAACACCUCUCAGUUCGGAUUGUAGGCUGCAACUCGCCUGCAUGAAGCUGGAAUCGCUAGUAAUCGCAAAUCAGCCAUGUUGCGGUGAAUACGUUCCCGGGUCUUGUACUCACCGCCCGUCACACCAUGGGAGUUGUGUUUGCCUUAAGUCAGGAUGCUAAAUUGGCUACUGCCCACGGCACACACAGCGACUGGGGUGAAGUCGUAACAAGGUAACCGUAGGUGAACCUGCGGUUGGAUCACCUCCUU